rnacentral:rRNA from 1 species
UACGUAGGGUGCGAGCGUUGUCCGGAAUUACUGGGCGUAAAGAGCUCGUAGGUGGUUUGUCGCGUUGUCCGUGAAAACUCACAGCUCAACUGUGGGCGUGCGGGCGAUACGGGCAGACUGGAGUACUGCAGGGGAGACUGGAAUUCCUGGUGUAGCGGUGGAAUGCGCAGAUAUCAGGAGGAACACCGGUGGCGAAGGCGGGUCUCUGGGCUGGAACUGACGCUGAGGAGCGAAAGCGUGGGGAGCAAACAGG